rnacentral:rRNA from 1 species
GAUCAUGGCUCAGGAUGAACGCUGGCGGCAUGCCUAAUACAUGCAAGUCGAACGAGAGGAAGGAAAGCUUGCUUUUCUGAAUCUAGUGGCGAACGGGUGAGUAACACGUAGGUAACCUGCCCAUGUGCCCGGGAUAACUUCUGGAAACGGAUGCUAAAACCGGAUAGGUAGCAGACAAGCAUUUGACUGCUAUUAAAGUGGCUUUGGCCAUGAACAUGGAUGGACCUGCGGUG